UGAGGAAUAUUGGUCAAUGGUCGGGAGACUGAACCAGCCAAGCCGCGUGAGGGAGGAAGGUACAGAGUAUCGUAAACCUUCUUUUGUCAGGGAACAAAGGCGGGGACGUGUCCCCGGAUGAGUGUACCUGAAAGAAAAAGCAUCGGCUAACUCCGUGCC
rnacentral:rRNA from 1 species